rnacentral:rRNA from 1 species
AACGUAGGGGGCGAGCGUUGUCCGGAAUUACUGGGCGUAAAGGGAGCGCAGGCGGUGACUUAAGUCUGAUGUGAAACGCCCACGGCUCAACCGUGGAAGGUCAUUGGAAACUGGGUCACUUGAAUAUAGAAGAGGAGAGUGGAAUUCCAUGUGUAGCGGUGAAAUGCGUAGAUAUAUGGAGGAACACCAGUGGCGAAGGCGACUCUCUGGUCUGUAACUGACGCUGAGGCUACGAAAGCGUGGGGAGCAAACAGGAUUAGACUACCCCU